UGUAUUUUUUGCAGUUUUUAGUGCAUGCUCGGAGAACAAGAUAAGAGGAGAGGCUUGAAUCUUGAGAUGACAAGGGUAGUCACCUGCUGCGACUAAAGGAAGGAGGUCAAUGAAGCAAAAGGCACGAAAAGGAAGGAGCAGCGCCACAGGGACGAUGUUGUCGGCAGCGCUUUGGAAGGAUUCGCUCCAGAGAAGUUACGGUAGUCGGCCAUCGCCCAGGGGAAGCAGGGAGGAUGUCGUUCGAAACGCCUGGGUCUAGAGGAGUGUGUCCAGGUGGUGGCCGAGGAUGGCGACAAGCAAUUGGGUUGGGCAUUUAUCAACGUGAUGGCGUCGUUGCUCAAGGUACCAACACCCUUGUUUUGACCCAAUGUUUCUUGGCUAACUGUGCAUGGCUGGGACUGUUUCGUGCAUAUGGGGGACGGCUCAUGCCAUCCACUUCCAAAGCAACAAGACUUGAAAGGAGUAAAUAUUGGCAAAAAGUCCCUCAAAAUUCGUAGUCUGGGUGUAGAAGGUUUGGGGAUUUUGAGCCGGAUGGGCCAUUGAUGGUUGCGGUUGGCUUGGACAGGGAAUGUAGAGAUAGUAAGUGAAGAGGAGCAGGAGAACGAAGACGAAGAAGAAUAGUGGUUUAUAGGUAGAAAAAAAUUAAGAAUGUUGCUUAAUGUGCAUGAGGAUCCAAACAAUGUAUAUUUGACACGAUUAAAGUUGACUCAUGUCGAGCCUCAGGAUGGUGGUGGAGCGGUCAUGGUGGAAGGUUAUUGUGCAAGAAUUU